GCUCAGGAUGAACGCUAGCGGGAGGCCUAACACAUGCAAGCCGAGCGGUAGAGAUUCUUCGGAAUCUUGAGAGCGGCGCACGGGUGCGGAACACGUGUGCAACCUGCCUUUAUCAGGGGAAUAGCCUUUCGAAAGGAAGAUUAAUGCCCCAUAAUAUAUCAUAUGGCAUCAUUUGAUAUUGAAAACUCCGGUGGAUAAAGAUGGGCACGCGCAGGAUUAGAUAGUUGGUAGGGUAACGGCCUACCAAGUCAGCGAUCCUUAGGGGGCCUGAGAGGGUGAUCCCCCACACUGGUACUGAGACACGGACCAGACUCCUACGGGAGGCAGCAGUGAGGAAUAUUGGACAAUGGGUGAGAGCCUGAUCCAGCCAUCCCGCGUGAAGGACGACGGCCCUAUGGGUUGUAAACUUCUUUUGUAUAGGGAUAAACCUACCCUCGUGAGGGUAGCUGAAGGUACUAUACGAAUAAGCACCGGCUAACUCCGUGCCAGCAGCCGCGGUAAUACGGAGGGUGCAAGCGUUAUCCGGAUUUAUUGGGUUUAAAGGGUCCGUAGGCUGAUGUGUAAGUCAGUGGUGAAAUCUCACAGCUUAACUGUGAAACUGCCAUUGAUACUGCAUGUCUUGAGUGUUGUUGAAGUAGCUGGAAUAAGUAGUGUAGCGGUGAAAUGCAUAGAUAUUACUUAGAACACCAAUUGCGAAGGCAGGUUACUAAGCAACAACUGACGCUGAUGGACGAAAGCGUGGGGAGCGAACAGGAUUAGAUACCCUGGUAGUCCACGCCGUAAACGAUGCUAACUCGUUUUUGGGCUUUCGGGUUCAGAGACUAAGCGAAAGUGAUAAGUUAGCCACCUGGGGAGUACGUUCGCAAGAAUGAAACUCAAAGGAAUUGACGG
rnacentral:rRNA from 1 species